CCAGAAUACUGGGGUGGGUAGCUGUUCCCUUCUCUAGAGGAUCUUCCCACCCCAGGGAUCAAACCCAGGUCUCCCGCACUGCAGGUGGAUUCUUUACCAGCUGAGCCACCAGGGAAGCCGUCACUACCCUGUCUCUAAAGGUGGCCUGUGGUUCUUUUCCCAGAUUCACACUCUGGGUGAGGAGAAAGGUAGUGAGAUGCUCCUAAGAUGAAAGUCAUGACUGCUUCCCUUUCCUGAGGGUCUCCAGCCCUGGGCUCAGGGCACGUCUAGGCAGUGCCCCAAACUGCUGGUGUGUUCUGAGGGGAGAACUGAUUCCACAACAGAAAGAAGUUGCCUCACAAGAAUGAAAGGACAACUUCAAACAUGCUGGCAGAAACGCAUCAAACAUCAGCCAUGAAGCAACCCUCCAGGUCAUGCCAGCAGCCAACCUGUCGCGGGCUGUGGAAACCAAUGACCAAAGAAAGAAGGAAGCACACCUGAGCCAGCUUGCUCUCGAGCUGCAGUAUGCAAAUGAAGGCACAAGGAUCAUUCUGUAGAUCCAGAUCCUUCUGAGGUGGCUUAGUUAAUCAAAGAGAAUGAACUUGCCAGAGACAAGAGGACAGUGCUGCAGCCAAGCAAAGAACAGUAGCUGUGCUUCUAAACUAGACUCUCCAAAGAGCCCAUGAACAUUUUCUAGACCAGCAUCCCAUCUCAUUCAGCCUUUCCUCCCUCUCAGAGUUUCCAGAUGUUUUACCAUCCUGAGGUCCAGCAUUAGCCAAUGGUCUUAAAAGGGAUGCCUAGCAAAGAAAGGAAUAUGGGAGGUAUGGUCUGGUAGGGUGCCCUUUUCUGGGCAGUGUACUUCUGGAUGGUUGGAUGUCGAGACACUCACCUAUCUCCUAACUAUACUUUAACAUUUCCUGAACAUCUUUUGCACAUUAUUAUUUUCAUGAUGUAAAUUAUGUAAAAUAGUACAACCACUUUGGAAAACAAUUUGGUGUAGUAAAGUUGACCCAGCAAUUCCAUUUUCAGGUAUAUUCUCUAUAGAAUCUCUUGCAAAUACACAUGUAAAAGAAUGUACAUAGUAACACUGUCUACGAAAGCAACAAAAACAAACGAACAAACAAAACUGGAAAUAUGUCAAAUGUCCACUGCCCGUUGGAUGAGUAGAUACAUUGUACAUUCUUUUUAUUAUUGUGGUAAAAUGUACAUAACAUAUAAUGUACCAUUUUAACUAUGUUAAAGUGCAAAGUUUUGUGGAAUUAAGUACAUUCACAUUGUUAUGCAACCAUCACCACCACCAUCAGCAGAAAUUUUUCAUCUUCCCAAACUGAAACUCAGUACCCAUUAAACAUUAGCUCCCCAUGUCCCAUUUCCCUCAGCCUCUGGCAAACUAUUCUGCUUCCUGUCUCUAUGAAUUUGACUGUUCCAAGUACCUCAUGUAAGUGGAAUUGUACAGUGUUUGUCUUUUGUUACUGAUUUAUUUUACUUAGAAUAAUGUUUUCAAAGUUCAUCCAUGUUGUUAUCAUGUAUUGGAGUUUUACUCCUUUUUAAAGCUUAGUAAUAUCCCACUGUAUAUUUAUACAUAGCACAUUUUGUUAUCCAUUCAUCCAUAGACAGAUGCUUGGAUUGCUCCCAGCUUUGGCUCUUAUGAAUAAUGCUGCUAUGAACAUGGCUCUACAAAUAUUUGCUCAA